rnacentral:rRNA from 1 species
UACGUAGGGUCCGAGCGUUGUCCGGAAUUACUGGGCGUAAAGAGCUCGUAGGUGGUUUGUCGCGUUGUUCGUGAAAACUCACAGCUUAACUGUGGGCGUGCGGGCGAUACGGGCAGACUGGAGUACUGCAGGGGAGACUGGAAUUCCUGGUGUAGCAGUGAAAUGCGUAGAUAUCAGGAGGAACACCGAUGGCGAAGGCAGGUCUCUGGGCUGACACUGACGCUCAUGCACGAAAGCGUGGGGAGCAAACAGG